CAGGCCUAACACAUGCAAGUCGAACGAAGGCUUCGGCAUUAGUGGCGCACGGGUGCGUAACGCGUGGGAAUCUGCCCUUAGGUUCGGAAUAACAGCUGGAAACGGCUGCUAAUACCGGAUGAUAUCGCGAGAUCAAAGAUUUAUCGCCUGAGGAUGAGCCCGCGUUGGAUUAGGUAGUUGGUGGGGUAAAGGCCUACCAAGCCGACGAUCCAUAGCUGGUCUGAGAGGAUGAUCAGCCACACUGGGACUGAGACACGGCCCAGACUCCUACGGGAGGCAGCCGUGGGGAAUAUUGGACAAUGGGCGAAAGCCUGAUCCAGCAAUGCCGCGUGAGUGAUGAAGGCCCUAGGGUUGUAAAGCUCUUUUACCCGGGAAGAUAAUGACUGUACCGGGAGAAUAAGCCCCGGCUAACUCCGUGCCAGCAGC
rnacentral:rRNA from 1 species